UCCACAGUAGCUCAGUGGUAGAGCUAUCGGCUGUUAACCGAUCGGUCGUAGGUUCGAGUCCUAUCUGUGGAGCCA
rnacentral:tRNA from 1 species